rnacentral:rRNA from 1 species
UGGAGAGUUUGAUCCUGGCUCAGAUUGAACGCUGGCGGCAGGCCUAACACAUGCAAGUCGAACGGUAACAGGAAGCAGCUUGCUGCUUYGCUGACGAGUGGCGGACGGGUGAGUAAUGUCUGGGAAACUGCCUGAUGGAGGGGGAUAACUACUGGAAACGGUAGCUAAUACCGCAUAACGUCGCAAGACCAAAGAGGGGGACCUUCGGGCCUCUUGCCAUCGGAUGUGCCCAGAUGGGAUUAGCUAGUAGGUGGGGUAACGGCUCACCUAGGCGACGAUCCCUAGCUGGUCUGAGAGGAUGACCAGCCACACUGGAACUGAGACACGGUCCAGACUCCUACGGGAGGCAGCAGUGGGGAAUAUUGCACAAUGGGCGCAAGCCUGAUGCAGCCAUGCCGCGUGUAUGAAGAAGGCCUUCGGGUUGUAAAGUACUUUCAGCGGGGAGGAAGGUGWURAGGUUAAUAACCYCRKCRAUUGACGUUACCCGCAGAAGAAGCACCGGCUAACUCCGUGCCAGCAGCCGCGGUA